GUGGUAAUGCCGGAUGCUCCGACUCCUCGCAUGGGGUGUCGGGAAAGAUUUCAUCGGUAUGGGAUGGGGUCGCGUCCUAUCAGGUAGUCGGCGGGGUAACGGCCCACCGAGCCUACGACGGGUAGCCGGCCUGAGAGGGCGACCGGCCACAUUGGGACUGAGAUACGGCCCAGACUCCUACGGGAGGCAGCAGUGGGGAAUAUUGCACAAUGGGCGCAAGCCUGAUGCAGCGACGCCGCGUGCGGGAUGACGGCCUUCGGGUUGUAAACCGCUUUUGAUCGGGAGCAAGCCUUCGGGUGAGUGUACCUUUCGAAUAAGCACCGGCUAACUACGUGCCAGCAGCCGCGGUAAUACGUAGGGUGCAAGCGUUAUCCGGAAUUAUUGGGCGUAAAGGGCUCGUAGGCGGUUCGUCGCGUCCGGUGUGAAAGUCCAUCGCUUAACGGUGGAUCUGCGCCGGGUACGGGCGGGCUGGAGUGCGGUAGGGGAGACUGGAAUUCCCGGUGUAACGGUGGAAUGUGUAGAUAUCGGGAAA
rnacentral:rRNA from 1 species